rnacentral:pre_miRNA from 1 species
AUUCAGAGUUACUCACUCAAUUUGGAUGUGAUGUUCAAAUUGGCGCCACCACAACCUCCUUGAGUGAGCGACUCGGGGA